ensembl:lncRNA
CAGUAGUGAAACGGAAAGUAUGAUGUGCAUACAAAAGCCUACAGCACAUCGCAUGUAAAGAGUUUUUCAUAUCAGAUGACAAAACACCUGCGAUAAAUCAGUUGAUCCACGACAACACAAUGGGUCUCUACAAACAUGAAGUGUUUUUCCAAGCGAGAGAACUGACCGACUCAGAGAAAGAGAAAAUCCAGAAGUACUUUCAAAUUAGGAGGAAGUCAGGAGGAGGUGAAUGUGGGCCGGUGGAAAAAGUAGACAAUGGGACCUACACAAUUUCUUUUCUAGAACAAGAAGCUCAGCAGAGAGUUUUGCAUGCAAAGGUGCAUGUGAUACACAUGGCCCCGGGCCAGGAACUUUACGUUUUACUGACUGGAAAUGACACACCUGAAGAAAACAAACACUGCAUAGAGAGCCAACAGAAGCCCCCUGGUGGAGAACAGAUGAAAGUACUGAAGAUGGAUCCUUACCUGCUCAGUUACCUGAAGGAGAGUCCUAAGGCAGGACAGGACCUUAAGCAGCGUCUGGCUCCUCUCUGCAGCACCUUUCAGAUCUCUGAAGAGGCAGAAGAGAUUAUUGUGAGGAGAGGCACUGCUCAAGAAGCACUACAUCAGGAAAAAUGGGAGAUGCAGUUGCAGGAUGUUUGUUUUCAGCUAAUGCAAACUUACCGAUGCUACUAUGAGGUGGACCCCAAAAGAUUGAAGUUCCUUCAGGACAACCUUUCCUCGUGCUCUGGAAACGUGUGUAUCUAUAAAGAAAAUAAAGAGCUGGCAGUGGUGGUUGGAGAGAAAAGCGAAAUAGAAAAAGUACUUCAGAUGUUGGAGGCCUCUCAGAUAAAGCAACAGGUCCGCAAGGACUGCAGGGUCUCUGAGGUGCAAUUCACCCUGGUGGAGAAGGAGUUCAGAAGGGAGAUGAAGGCUUCAUUCCCACACAUCAAGACCACCAGACAGGGAAGCCGGACUCUAGUGUUAGACGGGCCAGAGGCAGAGGUAGAAGCUGCAUGCACCACGCUACAGGAGCUGGUCAAGAAGAUCCGGCUAAAGAGACUCCAGCUAACUCCCCCACUCCUUGCCUUCCUCACAUCCAGUGGAGCCAUGCAAACAUACCAGACCCGGUUUCACCGGAGCCUGAGGAGUCCAGUGAUGCUUGAAGUGGGUCCAGACCUUGUUCUGUCCAGCCUUAUCUCAGAGGCCCUUGAGGAGGCAGCAGCAGCUCUGGAGCGAGACCUGACUGCGGAGACCGUGGCCUUGGAGCGAGCUGAAGUAGAGUCACCAGAAAUGGAAACACUUAAAGAAGAUUUGGACCGUGCACUGCAACAAUCUAACCAAAAAAGCACAAGAGUGGGGCUUAGUUAUGAUGUACCAUUACAAUCGGACCCAGGGAUGCCUGUACAGCUAGUUGGGUAUAGGCAAGAUGUAGAGCGGCUGAAGAAGAUACUAGUCAACUACAAAUGCAGUCAGGCAGAUGUCACUGAUUUUCUGAAUCUACCCAACUCAUUAAUAGUUGAUCACUUCUUCCAAAUACUGGAGCUUUUUGGAGUACAGCAUAGUGGGCUCAGAUUGAUGCCCAACCAUUCGCCAUCCCCUUGUGUGCAGUUAGCUGGACCACGUCAAUCGGUGCAACAAUUUCGUGAAGGAAUGGCCUCAAGUUUAGGGUCUCUGGUCACCAAAGAUUUUAAAGUGGAAGGACCGGGAGCACUUCAGUACUUCCGGGGUGAUGGAAAGGAUAACAUAGCAUUGUUGGAGCGCUCUCACAAGGUCAUAGUCCUAUUAUUGCCAGAUCAAACUCAGGUCGGUGCAACUGCUAAUCCAUCAACAAGUAUCAUCUCCCUUACACCAAACAACGUACAACUGAGUUCUGUCCUAACACCACCAGAUUACUCACAAAAUAAAACACAUCUUGAGGUUGUUCUCGGACAGCUUGAAAACCAGCAGGUUGAAGGGAUUGUGGCUCCAAUGGUGAGAAGAAAUUUGACCUCUACCAGGAUUGGGAAAACAUUUGCCCAAAAGGGUGGAGACCAGUUUCAACGCAAUUUUGAUCACUCCAAAAAAAUGUCAAAGUAG